rnacentral:lncRNA from 1 species
UUUGGUUUUUGAGUUAUAAGCCAAAAACUGCAUUUUACCCCUAUGUUCUAUUUUUAGCUGUGGCGGCCACCUUGGUUGGUUGGCCGGGUCACCGGACACAUUUUUUAAACUAGAUACCCCAAUGAUGAUUGUGGCCAAGUUUGGUUUAAUUUGGCCUCGUAGUUUCAGAGAUGAAGAUUUUUCUUAAAGAUUACUAAGAUUUACGAAAAAUGGUUAAAAAUUGACUAUAAAGGGCAAUAACUCCUAAAG